GAAAUCUGCUCGGAGCCUUCACCGUGCACUGCCACUUUAAGAGCGCAUGAGCAGUAAGGAAGGAGGCGAUAAAGAGUUCGUUCAGCUCUUUGGGGAGGAGCUAUUGGGUGGCGCGACAGUUUGAUUGUGUGUGCUGUGCUGCAGAGGUGUUUUGUUUUCAGCGUUUGUAGUUUAUAAUGUAGUUAACUCAAUCAUCGGUGUGAUCGCUUUAGAUCGUGGUUGUUUUUGUUUGGGACCGCGCCCGUUAUGGAUUCGUAGCAACAUUGUUGCGAAGCUUUAACAUACAAACCAACAAACCAUCGGACAGUCAGACGGUACACGGCAGGCCUGAAGACCACAGCUAAGAUUUCUCUUUUUCUCUCUAUUUCUCUUCCCUCUCGUUCCAGUGCUUUACCCUGCAACAGACUCUCUAUUUUUCAAAUGCACUUCCCCUUGAAGUUCAUUAGAGCUGGACUAUUAUUGCCCUGCCAGAAGUAUUUUGAUGGACAUUUUAGUUAAAAGGGAGGUUGCUUGCAAGUUGUGCAUUGUUAUGUGAACUGUAUUGAGGUGAGGUGUACUAAUGACAUGUGGCCGAGAAGACUGGACAUUUUUAAGGCCUUUGUUGUGUCGAUGAACACCCCCCCCAUUCAUACCCUCUGCACUCACCCACUAGAAAAUAAUACAGAUUAUUGCAAAUCCUAUGUUGAUGACUGGGUUCGUUCUUGUAUGAAGUUGCUGUUGAAUUGCUCUGCCAUUAUUAGUAUUAGUAUUAUUGUAUGAGGUAUUCUUGUUUGGGUUACCCCUGUGCUGUGAUGUGGGUUUUAUAUGGUGUGUAUUCUUGUUUGGGUUACCCCUGUGCUGUGAUGUGGGUUUUAUAUGGUGUGUAUUCUUUUUUCUCUCCACUGGCUAUCUGGUAAACAGGCUACACUCUAGGCAGUCUCUUCUGCUGAUGUGUGUGGGUCUGGUAGUGGUACUCUCUCUAUUCUACUCUUUUCCUUUCGGCAUGGUUAAUACCUGCCUGGCGCCCGAACAAAAUCUUUCUUUACCCCUCUCUAAUAAAUACCGCUACAAACAUUUUAACCCUAACUUUUUUCCUAACCUUGUCCUAAUUAUCCUAACCUGCUGCGUAGACUGUUACCCAGGGCCUCUGUUGGAUAAUGAACAUAACACUGAAAUACAUCAGCUACUUUACAUUUGUGUGUGUGUAAAUAUGUAUUGGUAUAGUCGGUCAAAAACAAUUUCUUUAUUCUGUAUUCUGUUGCUCUGUUGCCACCUUCUGGACUCCGUCUGACCUGCACAACCUGGUUAAUAGGGACAAGUGUAGCACAUGGAUGUUUGAAACUUCAGGAGGCUGGUCACGUGGGCUAGCAAGGCAGAAGUCCCAAGUUCACGCUAGGUACGGGUCGAAUCGGGAGGAAGUGGUACUCGCUAAGCAAAGCAGCGCGAUGUCCUUUACACAAACAUGGAUCCAGCACCAGCAGAAACCUGAGUUGUCUGUCCAGGCACAGACAGGAGUGCCUGCAUCUGGACAUUACACAGCUUCUGACAGAGCAAGGCACAGACUCCAAUCUCCUGAUGCCUCAAAACCAGAGAAUCCACUCCCACCUGAGACAAACUACAUGCCUCUGGAGCUGUUUGACAGUGAGGAGUUUGACUGUCACACUCCUCAAGACUGGCUUGCCCUAAGCUAUGUGAAAUAAUUAACUGAUUGCAAACCCACACCUGCCAAAGCUCUGCUGGCCUCCACUGACAAGAUACCACCAGGUCGGUGCUUUGAGAACAGCUCUUAAUUUAAACCGGUUGUUUAAAGAGGGAUGUCCCAAAUAUAAAUUAUGGUAACCUAAAGGUUGUGUUUGUUGUAAUGAACAAUGUGCCAGAUCAUUCUUCAGAAAAUAAAACAUUGUUUGAGACAGUUCUCUCAUCAUCUCUGGUUCUGUAGACACAAAUAGCCCCAACCUGGAAAACAGUUGGCAGUUUGUUGAUGUUCUUGACUACAACCAGGAGAAAGGGCUUUAUCUGGUCCAUAAGGCUGACAGGAAUGGCAGAGUAAGGGAGGCCAAGUGAAAGCCAGUCCUUAACAGAGGACAGAGAACUAAAGACAUUUCAUAAUUUACUACCACUUCUAGUGUGUCAAUGCAGUGUGUUGUUGUCCAGCAUACAACAUACACACAGUCUCACUCUUGAUCCAGCUCUGCAGAGAGAACACAGAGGCCCUGCUUGUGACGUGGUGAGGUUGGACCCAGGUGUAGAGAAGAGACCAGACAAGGAAUCAGUGGUUAAGGAUAAACAUAAUACUUUACUAAGAAACGGUAGCCGCAGGAUCACAGAAGGUCAGCGAGGUGAACAGGGAGGUGACCAAGAACCCGAUGGUCACUCUGACAGAGCUCUAGAGUUCCUCUGUGGCAAUGGGAGAACCUUCCAGAAGGACAACCAUCUCUCCAGCAUUCCACCAAUCAGGCCUUUAUGGUGGAGUGGCCACCAUACAAGAUUCUGUGGUAUGAUGAAAGCAAGAUUGAACUCUUUGGCCUGAAUGCCAAGUAUCAUGUCUGGAGGAAACCUGGCACCAUCCCUACGGUGAAGCAUUGUGGUGGCAGCAUCAUGCUGUGGGGAUGUUUUUCAGCGGCAGGGUCUGGGAGACUAGUCAGGAUCGAUGGAAAGAUGAACGGAGCAAAGCAUAGAGAGAUCCUUGAUGAAAACCUGCGCCAGAGCGCUCAGGACCUCAGACUGGGGCAAAGGUUCACCGUCCAACAGGACAGCAACCCUAAGCACACAGCCAAGACAACGCAGGAGUGACUUCAGGACUUCAGUCUUUGAAUGUCCUUGACUGGCCCAGCCAGAACUCAGACUUGAACCCGAUCGAACAUCUCUGGAGAGACCUGAAAAUAGCUGUGCAGCAACGCUCCCCAUCCAACCUGACAGAGCUUGAGAGGAUCUGCAGAGAAGAAUGGGAGAAACUCCCUAAAUACAGGUGUGCCAAGCUUGAAGCGUCAUACCCAAGAAGACUCAAUGCCGUAAUCGCUGCCCAAGGUGUGUCAUGACUGUCCUGAUCAGGUCAGGUUACAGGAGACCACAACCCCACAGAUUAUCUCUCAACCCCAACAGAGGAGGAGAGAUCUAGGGGUCUGAAGAUGUGGGUUUUUUAUGACCCCUCACUCCCAUAGUAAAUUUUAGGCCAUAGACAAAUUCCUUUUGUCCUGUUACUAUGGAGAACCAGCCUCAGAACAUUAAACAUGAAAUAAAGGGACUUUGGAACAAUGGUUUCCGUCAGUCACAAUGGUGGUCAUGACGAUAGAUGGAAUAUGAAAAUGUAUGUCAUCUUUGUUUUGUUAUUAAAGGUUAAUAGAUGACGUUAUUACGAAAACAUUGUAACGUCAACAGUUUACCUAAUAUAUGUCUGAUGUUUAUACAUUGUACGUUGUAUGGAAAAUGUCCAAAUCAAAGAGAAUCUUUUGGUAAAGAUGAAAUGUGAAGUUAGUAGUCUAAAAUUGGAUUCGAGUCAAAUCUAGACCUUGCUCUUAACUUGGUACACCCAGAGAAUUUCCCUAAAGGCGGUUACGACCACUUCUGACCCGAGGGUAUAAAAACCUGUGAGUGAAGAAUUUACAGAUAAGACUAAGUAUAUCUCACUGGUCACCCCCAAAGCCAAUUCCUCCUUUGUUCGCCUUUCCUUCCAGUUCUCUGCUGCCACUUACUGGAACGUACUGCAAAAAUCACUGAAGCUGGAGAUUCCCAUCUCCCUCACUAGCUUUUAGAACCAGCUGUCAGACCAGCUCACAGAUCACUGCACCUGUACAUAGCACAUCUGUAUACAGCCCAUCUAUCUACCUCAAUCCCAUACUGUAUUUAUUUAUUUUGCUCAUUUUGCACCACAGUAUCUCUACUUGCACAUCCAUCUUUUGCACAUCUACCAUUCCAGUGUUUAAUUGCCAUAUUGUAAUUACUUCGCCACCAUGGCCUAUUUAUUGCCUUAACUCCCUUAUUUGACCUAAUUUGCACUCACUGUAUAUAGACUUUGUUGUAUUUUUUGACUAUGUUUUGUUCAUUCCAUGUGUUGUUGUAUGUGUCGAACUGCUAUGCUUUAUCUUGUCCAGGUCGCAGUUGCAAAUGAGAACUUUUUCUCAACUAGUUUACCUGGUUAAAUAAAGGUGAAAUAAAAAAAGUGACCCAAGCUGCAGCCGAGGUCUAAAAAGUCUACGAAACCAAACGCAACACAAGUUUGAAGACAAAUAAAUAUUUUUCUACCCAAGCUACAGAUGAGUAGCUGUGUCUAAGCGGGUGAAUUCAAGUCGAACCACCUAGCCUCCACUCCCCAUCGAAUCAUGGUAUCUACACUGUUUCAUUCCUACGCUGUGAGCUCUGAGCUACAGAGCUGUCUGUCCUCAGAAGAGCCCUUCCAGAGCAAGGGCGAGGGAACAGACUCCUAAGCCAAAAGGACACUGACAUCAUGAGGACAACCAAAGAGUUGCGCCGGAGAAGUGCGUCAUUGAGCAGCCUGAACUGUCCACGCGGAGAAGCCCCGGAGACCUUCCCCACGUAAUUACAUCAUUAUAUUCUGCAGUUUGGGGCAAGGCUAGGGUUAGAAUAAGCAUAGCUGACAAAUUCACCCAAAUGUAUAUUUCUCUCGUGUACUUUCUCUUUUUCUCUCUCUUUUAAAUCCAAAUUUUGGGUAACACGCGCCAUAAUGUGUUGGCCCGUUAUACUAAGUUCUAAUCAAUAGCCUAGAAUGUGUUUUUGUGUAUGUAUAUCUUUUAUCAUCAUUUUAGCUUUCUAGUAAAUAAAUACUCAACUAAGAUUGGUGUGGUAUGAACUCAUUGGUGGGACUCGGGUUUGUGCAGAUUCCCGGAUUAUGCGACGUUCAGAACGAGACUGUAGAGGUAACUGAUUAAUUAGCGGCUGUUGUAAAAUUAAUAUUCUGAUAUUCUUUGAGUUCAUUUAGGAAAUAGAAACUCAAUAAAACAACUUUUCCCAUGGUGCCCCAGGUUAAUGAGUUAAUAAUUGCUUGAUUCAGUUAAUCACGCAAUUAGAAACCUUUAAUCAUUCGAUGAGCAACAGUCGUCACAUUAACUAAUACAACGUCACGACAAGUGCUUCAACAAAGUACUGAGUAAAGGGUCUGAAUACUUAUGUAAAUGUGACAUUUCAGUUUUUCACAUUUUAAUAAAUUAGCAAACAUUUGUAAAAACCUGUUCUUGCUUUGUCAUUAUAGGGUAUUGUGUGUAGAUUGAUGAGGACUUUUAAAAUCCAUUUUAGAAUAAAUCUGUAACGUAACAAAAUGUGAAAAAAGUCAAGGGGUCUGAAUACUUCUGAAGGCACUGAAUAUCCAACGCCCUGAUACACUCUUAAUAACCUGCUCCCAAUUGCAUUGUGUUGGCCCUGUGUGUCCCUCCCAGACACGGUGGAGUAGAGGUUCAUCAGCAGUGACUUCUUCAACUUAAGCCUGUACAGCAAAGCGUGCCACCCUCUGUUUGAGAAGCGCAAACUCAUGUUUGUCUUCCUGCUGUGCACUUGAUGAACAAAAACAAGAGCAACAUGGUCAGAGGAGGAACUGAUGGUGUUUGGUCUGUAUUGUUGUGUUUACAGUGUAUCUAUGCUCAUACUCUGUCUGUGUCCCACCCUGCCAGUCUGAGUGGCGAUACGU